rnacentral:rRNA from 1 species
UUGGAGGGCAAGUCUGGUGCCAGCAGCCGCGGUAAUUCCAGCUCCAAUAGCGUAUAUUAAAGUUGUUGCAGUUAAAAAGCUCGUAGUUGAAUUUCGGGGUUAGUAGGUUGGUCAUGCCUCUGGUAUGUACUGGUCUCACUGAUUCCUCCUUCCUGAUGAACCUUAAUGCCAUUAAUUUGGUGUUUUGGGGAAUUUGGACUGUUACUUUGAAAAAAUUAGAGUGUUUAAAGCAAGCUAACGCUUGAAUACAUUAGCAUGGAAUAAUGAAAUAGGACGUUCGAUCCUAUUUUGUUGGUUUCUAGGAUUGACGUAAUGAUUAAUAGGGAUAGUUGGGGGCAUUAGUAUUCAAUUGUCAGAGGUGAAAUUCUUGGAUUUAUUGAAGACUAACUACUGCGAAAUCAUUUGCCAAGGAUGUUUUCAUUAAUCAAGAACGAAAGUUAGGGGAUCGAAGACGAUCAGAUACCGUCGUAGUCUUAACCAUGAACUAUGCCGACUAGGGAUCGGAUGAUGUUAAUUUUUUAAUGACUCAUUCGGCGCCUACGGGAAACCAAAGUGUUUGGGUUC